UGAGUAGGCGGCUUCGUAAGUCAUAUGUGAAAGCCUGGUGCUUAACAUCAGGAUUGCAUAAGAAACUAUGAGGCUAGAGUAUGGGAGAGGUAAGCGGAAUUUCUAGUGUAGCGGUGAAAUGCGUAGAUAUUAGGAAGAACACCGGUGGCGAAGGCGGCUUACUGGACCAAGACUGACGCUGAGGCACGAAAGCGUGGGGAGCGAACAGGAUUAGAUACCCUGGUAGUCCACGCUGUAAACGAUGAUUGCUAGGUGUCGGGGUGAGAGCCUCGGUGCCGCAGCUAACGCAAUAAGCAAUCCGCCUGGGGAGUACGUUCGCAAGAAUGAA
rnacentral:rRNA from 1 species